rnacentral:misc_RNA from 1 species
CUGUUCGAGCGUCAUUUCGACCAUCAAGCUCAGCUUGGUAUUGGGCCCUGCUGGCAACGGCAGGCCUUAAAGACAGUGGCGGUGCCUGAGGCCCUGAGCGUAGUACAUCUCUCGCUACAGGUUCCUGAGGGUUACCAGCCAGCAACCCCAAUUUUUACAAGGUUGACCUCGGAUCAGGUAGGGAUACCCGCUGAACUUAA